rnacentral:rRNA from 1 species
AUGACCGGCAGCAAGCAGGCUGCCAGCCCGGUGGUCGGCCGCGACAGCGAGAUAGACCGUGUUGUCUCCAUCCUCUGCCGCAAGACCAAGAACUGUGCUGUGCUGAUCGGUGCUGCAGGAGUCGGCAAGACAGCCAUCGCCGAGGGCCUUGCACAGCGCAUCGCUGCCGGGAAGGUCCCUGCGGCACUCGCCGGGGCACGCGUCGUGGAGGUUGAUCUCACGGCGAUGGUUUCUGGGACUGUGUCCCGUGGCAUGUUCGAGGAACGCAUAAAAGGCGUGAUAAAGCAGGCGGAGGACUCAGGCGGCAAGAUAGUUCUCUUCAUCGACGAGAUGCACAUGCUUCUUGGUGCCGGUGAUGGGAUGGGGGGAUGCCAGGAUGCUGCCAAUAUGCUGAAGCCGGCGUUGGCCCGUGGUCGUAUCCGCUGUGUGGGUGCGACGACUUUUGAUAAUUACCGUAAGUACAUUGAGAAGGAUGCCGCACUCGAGCGGCGGUUCCAGAAAGGUUGUCCAUUUCCUGAUAAGGCAAUUGACCUGAUUGAUGAGGCUGGUGCCACGGCAGCCAAAACAAUGAUGCCAGUUGGUGAUCAAGAAGAGAAUGUGAUCACUCUGCAGAGUAGCUCUAAAAAUGCAGUGAAGGAGGCAAUUGUUUGCCCUAAUCAUGUCGCACAAGUUGUGAGCCAAUGGACUGGUAUUCCUGUCACUGUGCUUGACCAAGAGGAGAAGGACAGACUAAUCCACCUAGCGAGCAGACUGCGGGAGCGAGUUGUUGGCCAGGAUGAAGCUGUAAAUCUGGUUGCACAAGCAGUGUUACGUUCCAGAGCCGGCUUUGAUCAACCUGGCCAACCGAUAGGAUCUUUUCUCUUCUUAGGCUCGACUGGGGUUGGAAAGACAGAGCUUGCAAAAGCUCUUGCUGAUCAGCUAUUUGACAGCGAGAAGAUGUUAGUUCGCUUUGACAUGUCUGAAUAUGUUGACAGGGGAUCCGUGCUGCGUCUCAUCGGAGCACCUCCAAGUAAUGGCUUUAUUUGUUCCUUCUUAAGUUAUAAAGGGCAUGAAGAUGGUGGACAAUUGACGGAGAAAAUCAGGAGACGUCCAUACAGUGUUAUCCUUUUUGAUGAGGUGAGGAAGCCGGAUCCAUCGGUGUUGAACCUUUUUAUUCAACUUCUGGAUGAUGGUGUGUUGACAGAUGGGAAAGGCCGGACCGUAGAUUUCAAGAACACCAUCAUCAUUAUGACCUCAAAUCUAGGAGCGGAGCACCUAACAGCAGGAAUGGCUGGAAAAAUCACAAUGGAAGCUGCACGGGACCUUGUGAUGCAACAGGUUCAGAAACACUUCAAACCUGAGCUUCGCAACAGAAUGAGUGAGAUUGUGAUAUUUGAGCCGCUGUCGCGCGACAAUCUGAAGGAGAUUGUAAAAAUCCAGAUGAAGAGCGUUGUCGCCAGCGUAGCUAGCAGGGGUAUCUCUUUAUCUGCGAGCGAUGCCGCGCUGGACGUGGUUUUGUUGGAGUCUUACAACCCAAUGUAUGGCGCAAGGCCUGUAAAGAGGUGGUUGCUGAAGAAUGUGAUGACUGAUCUCUCCGAGAUGCUUGUCAGCGGACAAAUCGGUGAAGGCUCCUCGGUCUCCAUUGACGCUGCCAAUGACAAGGGGCUCAAGUUUGAAGUAGCGACGAAGGUGUCAGAUUCGAGACGCAACAAUCCAACUCCCCAGUGA